rnacentral:misc_RNA from 1 species
CCAAAAUAUAGCAAAGAUGAGGCUAUACAGCAUGUUCGUGACGUUUACAAGGAGUCCCUCAACAAGUACAGGACUGGAGUAAAUGCAGCUAAAUCUGUUGAUGAUGAUGAAACAGACGAAAAUGAGCUUUCAUUUACAGAGUUAAGAGAUAAACUGCUUGCUCUUGAUCCUCUUAACAAAGACCAUGUCAUAAAGGUUAAUCACGCUNNNNNNNNNNGAAGUCAGAAGGAUAUAGAGUGGGAUGGAGUGAUGAAAUCCUCGGCUUUGAUUGUGGCGGG